GUCCCUUUCAUCCAGAGGUUAGGAUAUCGUCUUUUCAUGUCGAAGACACGGGUUCGAUUCCCUUUAUACGCGAUG
rnacentral:tRNA from 1 species